GGUGAACGCUGGCGGCGUGCCUAAGACAUGCAAGUCGAGCGGGGCAGGUUUAUCCCUGUUCAGCGGCGGACGGGUGAGUAACGCGUGGGUGACCUACCCGGAAGAGGCGGACAACCUGGGGAAACCCAGGCUAAUCCGCCAUGUGGUCCUAUCCUGUGGGGUAGGACUAAAGGGGCGACCCGCUUCCGGAUGGGCCCGCGUCCCAUCAGCUAGUUGGUGGGGUAAAGGCCCACCAAGGCGACGACGGGUAGCCGGUCUGAGAGGAUGGCCGGCCACAGGGGCACUGAGCCCCGGGCCCCGCCCCCAGGGGGGGCAGAGGUUAGGAAGCGUCCGCAAUGGACGGAAGUCGGACGGGGCGACGCGGGUUGGGGGGGGAAGCCCUUCGGGGUGUAACAUCCUGAACUGGGGAGGAAAGCCCGGUGUAGGGGGAGGCCGGUCCCCAGGUAAUAGCGGCGGACAACUCCGU
rnacentral:rRNA from 1 species